rfam:Rattus norvegicus chromosome 19, whole genome shotgun sequence.
GGGGAUUUAGCUUAGUGGUAGAGCGCUUGCCUAGCAAGCACAAGGCCCUGGGUUCGGUCCCCAGCUCCG